rnacentral:pre_miRNA from 1 species
UUUGUACUCCCUCCGUCCCAAAAUUCUUUUCUUAAAUUUGUCUAAAUACGGAUGUAUCUAGUUACAUUUUAGUGUUAGAUACAUCCGUAUCUAAACAAAUGUAAGACAAGAAUUUUGGGACGGAGGGAAUACUAC